AGUGAACGCUGGCGGUAGGCCUAACACAUGCAAGUCGAACGGCAGCACAGUAAGAGCUUGCUCUUACGGGUGGCGAGUGGCGGACGGGUGAGGAAUACAUCGGAAUCUACUUUUUCGUGGGGGAUAACGUAGGGAAACUUACGCUAAUACCGCAUACGACCUACGGGUGAAAGCAGGGGAUCUUCGCACCUUGCGCGAUUGAAUGAGCCGAUGUCGGAUUAGCUAGUUGGCGGGGUAAAGGCCCACCAAGGCGACGAUCCGUAGCUGGUCUGAGAGGAUGAUCAGCCACACUGGAACUGAGACACGGUCCAGACUCCUACGGGAGGCAGCAGUGGGGAAUAUUGGACAAUGGGCGCAAGCCUGAUCCAGCCAUACCGCGUGGGUGAAGAAGGCCUUCGGGUUGUAAAGCCCUUUUGUUGGGAAAGAAGAGCAGCAGGUUAAUACCCCGCUGUUCUGACGGUACCCAAAGAAUAAGCACCGGCUAACUUCGUG
rnacentral:rRNA from 1 species